GAUGAAUGCUGGCGGCGCGCCUAACACAUGCAAGUCGAGCGGAAAGGCCCUUCGGGGUACUCGAGCGGCGGACGGCUGAGUAACGCGUGGGAACAUGCCCCAAAGUGAGGAGUAACUGCCCGAAAGGGUAGCUAAUGCCGCAUAUGAUCUUAGGAUUAAAGGAUUUAUCCGCUUUGGGAGUGGCCCGCGUACGAUUAGGUAGUUGGUGAGGUAAAGGCUCACCAAGCCUACGAUCGUUAACUGGUCUGAGAGGAUGAUCAGUCAGACUGGAACUGAGACACGGUCCAGACUCCUACGGGAGGCAGCAGUGAGGAAUCUUCCACAAUGGGCGAAAGCCUGAUGGAGCGACGCCGCGUGCAGGAUGAAGGCCUUCGGGUUGUAAACUGCUUUUAUAAGUGAAGAAUAUGACGGUAACUUAUGAAUAAGCACCGGCUAACUACGUGCCAGCCGCCGCGGUAA
rnacentral:rRNA from 1 species